rnacentral:ncRNA from 1 species
GAUAACAGGCUGAUCUUCCCCAAGAGCUCACAUCGAUGGGAAGGUUUGGCACCUCGAUGUCGGCUCUUCGCCACCUGGGGCUGUAGUAUGUUCCAAGGGUUGGGCGAAUGUCCUGUCAGCCUUAAGGUCUAGAGAAUUAGAACUUAAGUUU